rnacentral:rRNA from 1 species
GACGAACGCUGGCGGCGUGCUUAACACAUGCAAGUCGAACGGAAAGGCCCUGCUUUUGUGGGGUGCUCGAGUGGCGAACGGGUGAGUAACACGUGAGUAACCUGCCCUUGACUUUGGGAUAACUUCAGGAAACUGGGGCUAAUACCGGAUAGGAGCUCCUGCUGCAUGGUGGGGGUUGGAAAGUUUCGGCGGUUGGGGAUGGACUCGCGGCUUAUCAGCUUGUUGGUGGGGUAGUGGCUUACCAAGGCUUUGACGGGUAGCCGGCCUGAGAGGGUGACCGGCCACAUUGGGACUGAGAUACGGCCCAGACGCCUACGGGAGGCAGCAGGGGGGAAUAUUGCACAAUGGGCGGAAGCCUGAUGCAGCAACGCCGCGUUCGUGAUGACGGCCUUCGGGUUGUAAACCGCUUUCGCCUGUGACGAAGCGUGAGUGACGGUAAUGGGUAAAGAAGCACCGGCUAACUACGUG